UACGGAGGGUGCAAGCGUUGUCCGGAUUCAUUGGGUUUAAAGGGUGCGCAGGCGGGACAUUAAGUCAGGGGUGAAAGACGGUUGCUCAACAAUCGCAGUGCCUUUGAUACUGGUGUUCUUGGGUGACCUUGAGGUAGGCGGAAUGGGUGGUGUAGCGGUGAAAUGCAUAGAUACCACCCAGAACUCCGAUUGCGAAGGCAGCCUACUGGAGGUUUACCGACGCUCAGGCACGAAAAGCGUGGGGGAUCAAAACAGG
rnacentral:rRNA from 1 species